UCUCAGCGUCAUCUCCAUAGCUUCGACCAUUUCACGUUUGCUUCGCCUAUCUUUCAAGUCGGCACCGUCAUCAAAUUAAUUUCAGGGGGUUUGGUUCGCCGUGAGUAGUAGAGCUUCCUCCGUUGUCUUCCGCUCUUCCGCUACCCUCUCGUUAAGCAGAACACAUUGAUUUUGAGAGGGAUUCGAGGAUUCUUUGAAGUUGGAAAGAUUCUACUAGGAUUCAUUGAAAUCAGAGGAUUUAGCCACAGUAAGAGACCCUGAGGAUGACUCUGAUGUUCAAAUUGAGUGCAAAGACGUCUAUAAGUGAUUUGGUGAGAAGCAAAUAUUGAGAAGGUGUGAGCUUCAAGUCAACGAUUCAUUGGUGUGGUUAAUAGGGUUCUAAUAAUUGGAAUCUGCAUAUCUUUUGCUGCUCUUGUGGAGAAAUUCAAAUUGGGGAAUGAACCACACGUGAAUGAGGCUAUUGAGGCAGACAUGAAAAGAAGAUAUAGCACUUGGCGAUACAAUUUGCAUAAGAUGUUUUUGCAAUUGAAUCAGCGGAGGAGGCACUUGAGAACAGCCUGAAAAUGUGGGAGAAGAUGACUGGGAUUUUCUCAUCAAUUGGUGGCACGAUGACGAGUGGCUGGAAUUGAGCGGAAAAAAUAAGAAAAACAGAGAUAGGCUAACAAUAACUCAUUGUGCUGGGACAAAAGCAUUUAGUCGCAUUAGAUAUGAAAAUCAAAAUUCUGAGACCGGAGAGGAACCUAGCCGUAUUGACAUGUUCAAGCUGACAAGAUUUAGAGAAAACAAGAAAACAUGGGUCGGAGAUGUCGCUGAAAAUGCUUAU